AUUGAACGCUGGCGGCAGGCCUAACACAUGCAAGUCGAGCGAGCGGCGGACGGGUGAGUAAUGUAUGGGGAACUGCCCGAUGGAGGGGGAUAACUACUGGAAACGGUAGCUAAUACCGCAUACUAUCGGAUGUACCCAUAUGGGAUUAGCUAGUAGGUGGGGUAAUGGCUCACCUAGGCGACGAUCCCUAGCUGGUCUGAGAGGAUGACCAGCCACACUGGGACUGAUACACGGCCCAGACUCCUACGGGAGGCAGCAGUGGGGAAUAUUGCACAAUGGGCGCAAGCCUGAUGCAGCCAUGCCGCGUGUAUGAAGAAGGCCUUAGGGUUGUAAAGUACUUUCAGCGGGGAGGCGUUACCCGCAGAAGAAGCACCGGCUAACUCCGUGCCAGCCGCCGCGGUAAUAC
rnacentral:rRNA from 1 species